rnacentral:rRNA from 1 species
CAUAGGUUAAUGAGGCGAACCGGGGGAACUGAAACAUCUAAGUACCCCGAGGAAAAGAAAUCAACCGAGAUUCCCCCAGUAGCGGCGAGCGAACGGGGAGCAGCCCAGAGCCUGAAUCAGUGUGUGUGUUAGUGGAAGCGUCUGGAAAGGCGCGCGAUACAGGGUGACAGCCCCGUACACAAAAAUGCACAUACUGUGAGCUCGAUGAGUAGGGCGGGACACGUGGUAUCCUGUCUGAAUAUGGGGGGACCAUCCUCCAAGGCUAAAUACUCCUGACUGACCGAUAGUGAACCAGUACCGUGAGGGAAAGGCGAAAAGAACCCCGGCGAGGGGAGUGAAAAAGAACCUGAAACCGUGUACGUACAAGCAGUGGGAGCACGCUUAGGCGUGUGACUGCGUACCUUUUGUAUAAUGGGUCAGCGACUUAUAUUCUGUAGCAAGGUUAACCGAAUAGGGGAGCCGAAGGGAAACCGAGUCUUAACUGGGCGUUAAGUUGCAGGGUAUAGACCCGAAACCCGGUGAUCUAGCCAUGGGCAGGUUGAAGGUUGGGUAACACUAACUGGAGGACCGAACCGACUAAUGUUGAAAAAUUAGCGGAUGACUUGUGGCUGGGGGUGAAAGGCCAAUCAAACCGGGAGAUAGCUGGUUCUCCCCGAAAGCUAUUUAGGUAGCGCCUCGUGAAUUCAUCUCCGGGGGUAGAGCACUGUUUCGGCAAGGGGGUCAUCCCGACUUACCAACCCGAUGCAAACUGCGAAUACCGGAGAAUGUUAUCACGGGAGACACACGGCGGGUGCUAACGUCCGUCGUGAAGAGGGAAACAACCCAGACCGCCAGCUAAGGUCCCAAAGUCAUGGUUAAGUGGGAAACGAUGUGGGAAGGCCCAGACAGCCAGGAUGUUGGCUUAGAAGCAGCCAUCAUUUAAAGAAAGCGUAAUAGCUCACUGGUCGAGUCGGCCUGCGCGGAAGAUGUAACGGGGCUAAACCAUGCACCGAAGCUGCGGCAGCGACGCUGAUGCGUUGUUGGGUAGGGGAGCGUUCUGUAAGCCUGUGAAGGUGUGCUGUGAGGCAUGCUGGAGGUAUCAGAAGUGCGAAUGCUGACAUAAGUAACGAUAAAGCGGGUGAAAAGCCCGCUCGCCGGAAGACCAAGGGUUCCUGUCCAACGUUAAUCGGGGCAGGGUGAGUCGACCCCUAAGGCGAGGCCGAAAGGCGUAGUCGAUGGGAAACAGGUUAAUAUUCCUGUACUUGGUGUUACUGCGAAGGGGGGACGGAGAAGGCUAUGUUGGCCGGGCGACGGUUGUCCCGGUUUAAGCGUGUAGGCUGGU